UUCCUUUUCCUUACUGGACCUGGAUUUGUGGGAAACUUCCUUAUAUUUGUAAGACAUGUAUAUUCUUUUGUCAUGAGUUCUGAGAAAAAGCACAUAGAACUUAUCCUUCUUCCUUUGGUUUUCUCAAAUGUAAUCAUUAUUUAUAGCAUAAGUAGCAGAAAUAUAACUGCAGUUUUUAAUUUUAGAAACUUCCUAGGUAAUGUUGGUUGUAAAACUUCAGUUUAUUUAGGGAGGGUUGCUUGGGGCCUUUCCAUCUGCACCACCUGUCUCCUCAGCAUGGUCCAGGCCAUCACCAUCAGUCCCAGGACCACCUUGUGGAGAAAGCUCAAACUACGGAUUGCAUGGCAAGUUCUUCCUUAUCUCUUCCUCUUUUGGAUCUUUAAUGUUCUGAUAAGCUCCAACUUGCUCUACUACAUUAGAGCAGUUAAUAGCAUGAAUAGGUCUGAAAUUAGACCAUAUAUUAGUUAUUGCUAUAUGCUACCAUCUAAGCAAAUAGUUAGGUGGUUUUUCUCACUUUUAUGGCUCUUUGGGAUAUCAUCUUUCAGAGUCUCAUGGGCUGGAGCAGUGGGUACGUGGCUUAUCAUCUGUAUAAAUAUCACAAUUGUGUCUCCUACCUUCAGAGCUCCAGGUUUGCAAAUAAUUCCAGCCCAGAGGUCAGAGCUACUUAAAGUACUUUCAUUCUCAUGACCUGUUUCCUUUUCUUUUAUUGGGCUGAUUUUAUUUUCUCCUUCUAUAUAGGUUCCAUCUUGACAAAUGAUUCUGCUGUAUUAAUUAUUAAACCAUUUCUAAUGUUUGGUUAUGCCAGUCUCAGCCCCUUUGUGCUGAUCAGCAGAGAUGUCUGCAUUGCUAAAUGCUGGAGUGCUCACCUAGGAAACU
rnacentral:sRNA from 1 species